GGAUUGUAGUCUGCAACUCGACUACAUGAAGCUGGAAUCGCUAGUAAUCGCGAAUCAGAAUGUCGCGGUGAAUACGUUCCCGGGUCUUGUACACACCGCCCGUCACACCAUGGGAGUCGGAUAUGCCCGAAGUCAGUGACCCAACCAUAUGGAGGGAGCUGCCGAAGGUGGAGCCGAUAACUGGGGUGAAGUCGUAACAAGGUACC
rnacentral:rRNA from 1 species